AAAAAAGUAAAAAACGAUUGCUCUCAUCUUAUCACAACAUCUUGAAUCUGUUCAUCAUUUGUAGUUCGGGAAAAAAAUAGUCCUGGUAGAAUUACUGUGUUACAGACUGUAUAAAGGCAGAUGACCUUUAUAGGAAAUUGAAAACGAUGUGGCAGAGGUACACAAGCCACCUACUGAAGCGGAGGAGAAGAGAAGGUCACAUUAAGACGAUUAAAUACAAUACAAAAGGUAAUUUGAGUUGUCUGCAUUUAAAUAAUUGGCAUAAGGGAAAAAGAAGGAGAGCUGAUAAAGCACUAUGCGACUUUCCAGUAUUAAUGUCAUUAAUUUCCUAUUGAACCGAGCUACGAAACACCUUGUUCUGCUUCUCACAACCUGAUCUGGCCUUUUUCUGUUUAAUUUGUCCUGCUUUUCGGAGGUGGAACAUUUACACACACUAAAGGGCACUUUUUAAACCAAGUAAGUGAAAAGAAAAUCUUGUUGCAACAUGUCAACAAAAUGAAACUAAAGAUCAAUGGCUGAGCUAUUCCUAAUAAAGAGAUUUGCUGACUGAUGGGGGUUGUAAUUAUGUCUGAAAGACAAAAAGAUUUGAACAAAUACAGCAAUUAUUUAUUUUGUAAGACUGAAUCAAGCAGAAGAAUCUAGCAGUCAGAUGCUUGUAGAUAUGAAAUCAGAGUGUCUGUAAAUCAUAUCCUUAAUGAGCUUUAGUCGACUUUGAAGUCAACAAUGUUUCAUUUUCUGAAGCUUUUAGCUCCAGUCGGCUUAUCUGAAGUUGUUCUGUAGUUAAGUGGCUCGCUUACAGCUCCUGAACCAAAAUUUAAAAAAUGUGUUUCUUGUUGACGACCAGCGAGUAAUUCUCAACUUCAUUACCCCUCCCACUGUCUUUAUGGGUGACCCUGCGAGGAAAGUUGACCACUGAGCAGGAUUGAUGGUUUAUCCCUUUUUUGUUCUUCCGGGGACCCAUGAGCCGAGCGGAAUGUGAGGAGACUUAGGCUUCCUAUGCACAAUGGCUGAAGGAACAGACAAUAACGCUGCAGCACAGCUUAUCUGCUCAUCUGAUGAAGAUGCUAACUCAGUCUUCAUGAACUCUGAAUGGAAGGUAGAGCAUGCAUGAUUCAGAAUGAGUGAAUAUUAUUUCAGAUUAUAACAUUUUUUGCCCAUCUUCACACAAACAGAGAUUGGGGUGAGAAAAUGUUUAGAUAAACAAAAAUAUUCAAUAUGAAGUUUCGUUGACUGUUUUUGGUGUUUCUAUGUUCACUCGUUUGACAAAGCUUUGGAGAGCUGAUGGAGUAGCGGUCUGUUUUGCUAUUUUUAACGAGUCAGAUGAAAAAUACAAUGAAAAGACAACUUUUUUACUUGCUCUGUCAUCAUCUCAUCAACAAGAACCUUUACUCGCAAGACCUUUAUUCAUGUCUGUCUUGAAGAUCAACUGCCACAUAUUUCACGAUUUUGUGGUCACUGCUGAUGGGCUACCAUCACAUAUUUAUCAUUUAUUUGGGAAAAAAACAUCUUGGAAAUCUUUAUCUAAACCAGUACAGCCCGGUGUGGGAAGCUUUAUUGUAAACUCAGUUUGAUUUGCACCUGUUCUCAUUAAUCUUCAACAUGCAAGUAUCCUGGACUCUCAUAAAGUUAAAGUCCCAUAUUCAGCAUCAAUACAAUUUUUUCAACGAUGAGAAAGGGAGAACGGGCUCCCAGAUGCCCUGCCGAUACAGACCCAGUUGGAUACAUCUUGGACUCCUGGACACAGUGGAACUUGGAUUUGUUUAACUCAGCUGUCUGUGGAGGACUCGGAAGAUGUGUGGAUAUUUGUGGUGUUGGUGUCAGGUGUCCUGCUCAUUGGCCUUGGAGGCUACCUGGCUUACCGGAAAAAUAACGAGCUGUCGAGGAAUAUUGGCCUGAUCCCGGAGCCCAGAGAUGGUUUGCACCGCGCUGUGAAUUCAUAGACUCAAAUAACUGUCGAGAUGAAUUGUAAGCUUGGGACUUUGGCGGAGAGUCAUUCUUUGGCACAAAAGAUGGAUGCCAUCAAGGAGAGAGUGGACGAAUAAGCACGGAUUGGGAUAGAUUAACGUCCAUUACUAUUGGGAUUCGGAGAGGUGAGGACCAGCAGACUGUAAGACAGAGAGGAAAUUAUCUCUGUCUGGCCCCAAAACAAUUUCUAAUCGGAAUCUGGCGUCCUUGAGCCUGCAAGGCUCCAACGAAAACUCCCCCCCAGAAGAUAUGUGGAAUGUGCCGUCGCUCAACUCAACUCUACCUCCUUUCCCAGCCUGGGCAGGACAGCGGGAAGGGCGCUGAAGCGUCCAGGGUCACUGUAACCCUCAAUGCCCCCCCCCAUCCACACUGAGGUGAUAUGCGCUGCUUCACCGUGGCUGCAGGAGCUGAAACUGGGAAUAGUCCCAACCUACCACCCCUCCUAGUGGACACUUAUGUUGUGUUGUCUGAAGUCUGUUGCAUAUCUGUCUGAGGCGUUUUUUUUUUUUUUUUUUUUGCAGAGCAAAGCUGCUCUCCUGCUGGAGAGUAGCUCUGAAGUGCCUCUUUUUUUCCCUCCACCUGAACCAAUCCUCAUGUUACCGUCUUAUCUCUAUUAAGGUAGCGCAACUCAGGGUUGCGAAUGACCACAGUCACCAAUUCUUGUCAUGUGUCUUGCCCAUGUAUGUCUGAUCUCUGAAUUGUGUAUACUGAAACUCUAAUUUCCCUCUGGGAUUAAUAAAGUAUUGAAUUUGAAUUUGAUUCACACACUGGUGAAAUUCAUCUCUUUAUUUGACCCAUCCCCAUGGAGUGGAGAUGUGAGCUAUUUGGUGGUUUAAGCCCCCAGUCCAACCCCUUUAAACCCAGUCAAGCAGGGAGGCACUGGGUCCCAUUUUUUAAAAUCUUUGGUAUGACCCGACCGGGAUUUGAACCCCGAUCUCCCAGUCCCAGGUCAGACACUCAACCACUAGGCCACUGGUAAUUGAUUGGAUUGGAUGGAUUGGCUAACAGCCAUCUGAUGAGAGCCUGUAGUGCAGGAAGUUUUGCACUACCUUUUGUAAUUAGACUAAUGUAACGUAUCUGUAGGAUCUGAUGGUGUGAUUAAAAAAGUUUUAUAAAAAAGAUACAUCCGUUUAUUUUUUUCUUCUGCGAUCUCUGCCACUGAAAGCAGUUAUUUUAGUUUUCUUUUAGAGUCAGCUCACUGGAGGACUAAAGGGUCAGCGUGUGGCCAUAACUGCUGGAAGAACAUAUUGUGUGGUGUCAAAGUAGCAAGCAGUGGUUGAAACAUCAGAUUAGUAGUGUUGUGUAACCCGGCGUCCGUUAUUGUAUGUGCUUUUUCCACUGAGGCUACAGUUUGCUGAGAAGAAGCUGACCUGCACAGAAACUGCCCCCUCUUACAAAAAAAAAAAAAAAAAAAACACACUUCCUUUCACUCAUUUUCUCACUUUUCCAUGGCAA